AACGUAGGAGGCGAGCGUUAUCCGGAUUCACUGGGCGUAAAGCGCGCGUAGGCUGUCGAGUAAGUCGGACGUUAAAGCCCCUGGCUCAACUGGGGGAGGCCGUUCGAUACUGCUCGGCUUGAGGAUGAGAGGGGAGAGUGGAAUUCCCGGUGUAGCGGUGGAAUGCGUAGAGAUCGGGAGGAACACCAGUGGCGAAAGCGGCUCUCUGGCUCAUUCCUGACGCUGAGUGCGCGACAGCGUGGGGAGCAAACGGGAUUAGAUACCCCGGUAGUCCACGCUAUAAACGAUGAGGGCUGGGUGUUGGUGGGAUUACCCAUCAGUGCCGAAGCUAACGCGUUAAGCCCUCCGCCUGGGGACUACGAACGCAAGUUUAAA
rnacentral:rRNA from 1 species